rnacentral:rRNA from 1 species
AGCGAACUUGGCAGAGAUGCCUUGGUGCCUUCGGGAACGCUGAGACAGGUGCUGCAUGGCUGUCGUCAGCUCGUGUCGUGAAAUGUUGGGUUAAGUCCCGNAACGAGCGCAACCCUUAUCCUUUGUUGCCAGCGAUUCGGUCGGGAACUCAAAGGAGACUGCCGGUGAUAAACCGGAGGAAGGUGGGGAUGACGUCAAGUCAUCAUGGCCCUUACGAGUAGGGCUACACACGUGCUACAAUGGCGCAUACAAAGAGAAGCGACCUCGCGAGAGCAAGCGGACCUCAUAAAGUGCGUCGUAGUCCGGAUCGGAGUCUGCAACUCGACUCCGUGAAGUCGGAAUCGCUAGUAAUCGUGGAUCAGAAUGCCACGGUGAAUACGUUCCCGGGCCUUGUACACACCGCCCGUCACACCAUGGGAGUGGGUUGCAAAAGAAGUAGGUAGCUUAACCCUCGGGAGGGCGCUUACCACUUUGUGAUUCAUGACUGGGGUGAAGUCGUAACAAGGUAAGCGUAGCGAG